rnacentral:rRNA from 1 species
AGUGAACGCUGGCGGUAGGCCUAACACAUGCAAGUCGAACGGCAGCACAAGAGAGCUUGCUCUCUGGGUGGCGAGUGGCGGACGGGUGAGGAAUACAUCGGAAUCUACCUUUUCGUGGGGGAUAACGUAGGGAAACUUACGCUAAUACCGCAUACGACCUACGGGUGAAAGUUGGGGACCGCAAGGCCUCAAGCGAUUAGAUGAGCCGAUGUCCGAUUAGCUAGUUAGCGGGGUAAUGGCCCACCAAGGCGACGGUCGGUAGCUGGUCUGAGAGGAGGAUCAUCCACACUGGAACUGAGAAACGGUCCAGACUCCUACGGGAGGCAGCAGUGGGGAAUAUUGGACAAUGGGCGCAAGCCUGAUCCAGCCAUACCGCGUGGGUGAAGAAGGCCUUCGGGUUGUAAAGCCCUUUUGUUGGGAAAGAAAUCCUAUCGGUUAAUAACCGGUGGGGAUGACGUUACCCAAAGAAUAAGCACCGGCUAACUUCGUGCCAGCCGCCGCGGUAAUAC